AAGUGAAGUAUUCUUGCUGCCAACUGUCAGUGCCAGAUGCAAUGGCAAAUCGCUUUGCAGAUUGCUGACAAAUUGCCUUGAUGUAUCUACUGAGGAACCUCAAUAAUUUACAUUAAUUGGGCAUGGACCAGUUUGAGAGUGAGACAUCUAAGAUUUUGAAGUCCAAUUCCUGUCUUCCAAGUAAUUCUGAAAGGGGAGAAAUGAAAAUUCAGCAAAUUAAGAUCACAGGCACUGGACAUCUGGAAGAGGCCUCCCCUGAGACAGUGUGGUGGAUUUGGGCGCAGCUAUGAGCAGGUGCUGCCUGGGCACUCUGUUCAGUCCAUUCAUAACCCUGAGCCUGAUCCCAAGUUUAAUCCGCUUUAUGUGCAGUGAGCAUCUGUUGUGAGCCAACGGUUGUACAAGAGUAGAAAAGUGACCACCCAAAGAGGCCACUCAUGCUUUCGUCCCUUCCAAGGCUGUCAUGUUGUAAAGGAGGAGAGAAAGUGCUAUCAUAUUCAGGAGAAGACACUUCAGAUGAAUAUACUGAAAAUAAAAGAGAUGCAUAGGUCAAUGAGGUAAUCCGCAAGAGAAUUACAUCAUGGUGACCAGGACUGGGUUUACCCAAUCUGGUUUAUAUCAACCAGACUGAGAGAUGAUGGGAAGAAAGUUUGGUUGUGGUGCUGGACUUCCCUGGAAAGGUACGGUAGUUUCUUUAGUUGUAUGUUUCAUAGUGUUACCCAGACACCUGCACUGGCCAAGCACUUGCUACAUGUGGUUCUUGAUGGAUAGUAGCAUACAUAGAAGCUAUUGUCAGUAUUGUUUUUCCAUGUACUCUGUCCAAGAGCAGCAUUAGCACUGCCCUGCUGCCUGGAAAAUAGAUUUGUCAUCAUGUUACAAGGAGCAGAGCCAUUUGGCUUUGCCUUACUCCAGGUCCCUUUGCCGUUGUGAACUGGAUUCUCAAAGCGGAAGUGCACUCAUAUGCCAACGUGCUCAGAUGGCACUUUCACAAGUCAUUCGGGCUGUAAUCAGAUUUGAUGAUCAUCAGACUGGAGACAGAUGAGCAGCCUGCUGUAGUUCCCACCGCACACAGCUCAGCUCCUACGGUGGUAGCCACCAAACCCUGCAGCAAUGAUCUCUUCACUGCCAGUGCCAGCAAGGAUUUUGAACAGAACGAACCCAAAGAAGUUGGUGGCAGCAUGUGUGCCAAGAGGAACAGAUUGCAGUGCUGAGGGUGUUUAUGAAGGCCAUUAGAACAACUUAAGUUAUGAGAAGACUGACAGGAGAUAUGUGACAUACAACAUAAAUAAGUUUAUGCAGUGGAAAGACAAAGAAAUGAAACUGGAUACAAAGUUAGAUUUGUUAUCAUGUUACAAGGAGCAGAGCCAUUUGCCGUUCCGAACUGGAUUCUCAAAGCGGAAGUGCAUUCAUAUGCCAACGUGCUCAGAUGGCACACCCUUGUUACAAAGGAGACAGCCUGUAUUUGGUGCAUAUCAUAAAAUCAAGAUUGUAAGGAAUGGAUACAUUCUGUUUAAAGGCCUAUACUUAUGUUGGGGGCAAGAAGGAAUGUAGACACAAUAUAUAUGUACAAAAAAAGCCCUUCCACUGGCAAGCACUGCUUAGUGUUAUUUGAUGUCAGGUGUGGCUUUCCUGAGUCACCACCAUAGGCAUGGAAUAGACUGUAAGUAAAAUGAGCUGUGUAAGCUUCUCUAAUUCUUGGUACACUGCCAGUUGAGACCUAAUAUAUGUUCACACCAAUGCCCAAAGCCUGAAGACAAGAAUCUACAUCUGUUGAGAAUGUAAACCAGAAGUACACAUGCAUAUUUUGUAGGUGUGACAAUCAGGCUUAUC